rnacentral:rRNA from 1 species
AAGCCAUGCAUGUCUCAGUGCAAGCCGUCUAGUACGGUGAAACCGCGAAAGGCUCAUUAAAUCAGUUAUGGUUCCUUAGAUUGUACCCACGUUACUUGGAUAACUGUGGUAAUUCUAGAGCUAAUACAUGCCGACAGAGUUCCAACCAACUGUACGGCUUCGGCCGCGCAGUAAGGAAGGAACGCUUUUAUUAGAUCAAAACCGGCUAAGCGGCGGCCGCUCUUCGGAGCGCGCCGUCGUUAGUGGCCUGCGCAAAGAUUUGGUGACUCUGAAUAACUUCGAGCUGAUCGCACGGUCUCGUACCGGCGACGUAUCUUUCAAAUGUCUGCCUUAUCAACUGUCGACGGUAGGUUCGACGCCUACCGUGGUGGUAACGGGUAACGGGGAAUCAGGGUUCGAUUCCGGAGAGGGAGCCUGAGAAACGGCUACCACAUCCAAGGAAGGCAGCAGGCGCGCAAAUUACCCACUCCCAGCUCGGGGAGGUAGUGACGAAAAAUAACGAUACGGGACUCAUUUGAGGCCUCGUAAUCGGAAUGAGUACACUUUAAAACCUUGGUCAC